UACGUAGGGUGCAAGCGUUGUCCGGAAUUAUUGGGCGUAAAGAGCUCGUAGGCGGUCUGUCGCGUCUGCUGUGAAAACUCGGGGCUUAACCCCGGGCCUGCAGUGGGUACGGGUAGACUAGAGUGCGGUAGGGGAGACUGGAAUUCCUGGUGUAGAGGUGAAAUUCGUAGAUAUCGGGAGGAACACCGGUGGCGAAGGCGGGUCUCUGGGCCGUAACUGACGCUGAGGAGCGAAAGCGUGGGGAGCGAACAGG
rnacentral:rRNA from 1 species